rnacentral:rRNA from 1 species
UACGUAGGUGGCAAGCGUUAUCCGGAUUUACUGGGCGUAAAGGGAGCGUAGGCGGAUAAUUAAGUGGGAUGUGAAAUACCCGGGCUCAACUUGGGUGCUGCAUUCCAAACUGGUUAUCUAGAGUGCAGGAGAGGAGAGUGGAAUUCCUAGUGUAGCGGUGAAAUGCGUAGAGAUUAGGAAGAACACCAGUGGCGAAGGCGACUCUCUGGACUGUAACUGACGCUGAGGCUCGAAAGCGUGGGGAGCAAACAGG